GAACUUCCUACCCCAGGAUCCUUUUCCCUUCUGUGCCAGAAUGGCCCAGUCCCCUGGGCUGGCCCCCUGCUCUGUAUAACUUCUCUGCCAUCCUCUGCAGGCACCAUCAAGGUCACAGCUGACUCAGCUGUGCUGGGCUUCCUCCUGCGGGACAAGCACGAAAAGACAGGGAACAGCACCAGCGUGCACAGUGUGACCUGUAUCCUCACCCAGAACAGCAGCCAGGCUUUGCCGAGAGAGCUCUGGCUGAGAGGGCAGCUGCAGGCCCAGACGGGGAGCCUUGGGGGCCAGGCCCGGCUCCGGGCCGAUGCGGCCAGCCUGGCUCUGGGUGGCAUCUGCACCUGGGGCUCUGGGCAUGGCCAGCUCUCAGGCCACCUAAGUCACAACAUCAGCACCUUGGGUGAGGCAGGACUCCCGUCGGAGGCAGAGAUGCACCUGUCACACACCCAUGUGGCCUCCAACCUCUCCGCGAGCCUGGCCCUGCGCAGUGCGUGGGGUCAGCUGGACGCCGCCCUCGGCCUGGACCGCCCGACCCCCGGCGCCCCGGGAGGCCUGCUCCGUGCCCGCCUGGCCCACAAGGUGCCCGGCCUCGGGCGCUGGGGCCUCCCCUCCUCCGUGGACGGCCGCGGCCACUUCCAGGUGGGAGAGGGGGGGCUGGGCACGGGGCCCCCAGGGGUAGGGGUCCGCGGGGCACCCACAGCUUCGCUUCUGCGCAGAGCGCGGGACACCGCGUGGAGGCCGGGCUGACGGCGAGCGCGGACGGGGAGCAGCUCCGCGUGGCCCUGGAGGCGAGGGCGCAGCGCGGCCACCACGGGCUGGCCCUGCGGCUGCAGCACGGCCUCUCCGCGCUGCUGGGCACCUGGCCUGCGCGACGCCAGGUGAGUGGCCCGCCCGUGGGCGCACCGAGCCCCCUCGGCCUCCCCAGCCUCAGGGCUGACCCGGGGGCUCCAGCCUCCCGCCCAGGGCCCUCCCCGCGCCCCCCCCCCCCCCCCCCCCCCCGCCACCCUGGCCCCUCCCACCAGGUCAGCCCCCGCCCCCCAGCCCAACCCCUCCCUGUCACCCUGGUCCCUCCCACCCAGCCCUCCCCACCCAGCCAAACCCCCUCCCCUGCCACCCUGGCCCCGCCCCCCA
rnacentral:lncRNA from 1 species